CCUACGGGGGGCAGCAGUGGGGGAUAUUGCACAAUUGGGGGAACCCUGAUGCAGCGACGCCGCGUGGGUGAAGGAGCGUUUCGGCGCGUAAAGCCCUAUCGGCAGGGAAGAAGGAGGACGGUACCUGACUAAGAAGCCCCGGCUAACUACGUGCAAGCAGCCGCGGUAAUACGUAGGGGGCAAGCGUUAUCCGGAUUUACUGGGUGUAAAGGGGUCGCAGACGGCAGGGCAAGCCAGGAGUGAAAUCCGGGGGCUCAACCCCCGAACUGCAUUUGAAACUGUUGGUCUUGAGUAUCGGAGAGGCAGGCGGAAUGCCUGGUGUAGCGGUGAAAUGCGUAGAUAUUAGGAGGAACACCAGUGGCGAAGGCGGCCUGCUGGACGACAACUGACGGUGAGGCGCGAAAGCGUGGGGAGCAAACAGGAUUAGAUACCCUUGUAGUC
rnacentral:rRNA from 1 species